GUCCGUGCUCGGAAAGGGAGGUGUCCUACGGGUCGCUGCAGGGGUCCCGGCCUUGAAAAGAAGUGUCCCCGAGCUGCGCCUUGGGCUCCUGGGUAACGAAGCGCCCGCCUGGAUUUAUAGGGGAGAAUGUGAAUGGAAAAUAAAUCUCGGGACCCCCAAAUCACUAAGCCGAGGGAAAAGACAAGCUGAGAACUAUGUCAGGAUUUGGAAGCUCUCCCUCAAGUUGUCUCGCCUUACCGAAGUGAACCAAUAUUCAUCUUACACAUAUUGAUUGAUGUCUCAUGUCUCCCUAAAAUGUAUAAAAGCAAGAUGUACCCCAACCACCUUGGGCACAGGUCGGCAGGACCUCCUGAGGCUAUGUCAGGGUGUGUCCUUAACCUUGGCA